rnacentral:rRNA from 1 species
UGGGGAAUAUUGGACAAUGGGCGAAAGCCUGUUCCAGCAAUGCCGCGUGAGUGAUGAAUGCCUUCGGGUUGUAAAGCUCUUUUACCCGGGAUGAUAAUGACAGUACCGGGAGAAUAAGCCCCGGCUAACUCCGUGCCAGCAGCCGCGGUAAUACGGAGGGGGCUAGCGUUGUUCGGAAUUACUGGGCGUAAAGCGCACGUAGGCGGCUUUGUAAGUUAGGGGUGAAAGCCCGGAGCUCAACGCCGGAAUUGCCCUUAAGACUGCAUCGCUAGAACGUGGGAGAGGUGAGUGGAAUUCCGAGUGUAGAGGUGAAAUUCGUAGAUAUUCGGAAGAACACCAGUGGCGAAGGCGACUCACUGGACGACUGUUGACGCUGAGGUGCGAAAGCGUGGGGAGCAAACAGG